ensembl:misc_RNA Y_RNA Y RNA
GGCUGGUCCGAUGGCAGUGGGUUAUCAGAACUUAUUAACAUUAGUGUCACUAAAGUUGGUAUACCACCUCCCACCACUGCUAAAUUUGACUGGCUUUAA